rnacentral:rRNA from 1 species
UACGGGGGGAGCAAGCGUUGUUCGGAUUUACUGGGCGUAAAGGGCGCGUAGGCGGCCACCGCAAGUCGAUUGUGAAAUCUCCGGGCUUAACCCGGAAAGGUCAACCGAUACUGCGGGGCUAGAGUGCAGAAGGGGCAACUGGAAUUCUCGGUGUAGCGGUGAAAUGCGUAGAUAUCGAGAGGAACACCUGCGGCGAAGGCGGGUUGCUGGGCUGACACGUGACGCUGAGGCGCGAAAGCUAGGGGAGCGAACGGG